GCCGGCCAGAGGGUACCCCAGCCGCCACAGUGGUGACGUUCCCGCUGCAACUGCUUCCCACGCUGGUGCCCGACUCGCAGCGCGCCUGGAUCUUCGUCGUUGGCGACCUGCUCGCGCCGUCCUCCGCGAAUUUGGAACGCUUGGUGCGAGUCCCCACUGGAUGCGGAGAGCAGAACAUGAUCGGCUUUGUUCCCAACAUCUUCGUCCGGCGUUACCUUGAGCAAGUCAAGCUGAUCACAGAUGCUCUUCGGAUAAGAACUACGAAUAACAUGAGGACCGGCUAUCAGCGCGAACUGCGCUUCCGGC